GCAAGUCGAACGAUAAGCUAGACUUCGGUUUAGUGGACAGUGGCAGACGGGUGAGUAACGCGUGGGAAUCUACCUUUGAGUGGGGAAUAACAAUUAGAAAUGAUUGCUAAUACCGCAUACACCCUCCGGGGGAAAGGCUUCGGCCGCUCAUAGAUGAGCCCGCGUACGAUUAGUUUGUUGGUGAGGUAAAGGCUCACCAAGACUACGAUCGUUAGCUGGUUUGAGAGGAUGAUCAGCCACACUGGGACUGAGACACGGCCCAGACUCCUACGGGAGGCAGCAGUGGGGAAUAUUGGACAAUGGGCGAAAGCCUGAUCCAGCCAUGCCGCGUGAGUGAAGAAGGCCUUAGGGUUGUAAAACUCUUUCGACAGGGAAGAUAAUGACGGUACCUGUAUAAGAAGCUCCGGCUAACUCCGUGCCAGCAGCCGCGGUAAUACGGAGGGGGCAAGCGUUGCUCGGAAUUACUGGGCGUAAAGCGAGCGUAGGCGGUUAAUCAAGUUGGUGGUGAAAGCCCGGAGCUCAACUCCGGAACUGCCAUCAAAACUGGUUCACUUGAGAUUGGUAGAGGAAAAUGGAAUUCCUAGUGUAGAGGUGAAAUUCGUAGAUAUUGGGAAGAACAUCUGUGGCGAAGGCGAUUUUCUGGGCCAAUUCUGACGCUGAGGUUCGAAAGCGUGGGUAGCAAACAGGAUUAGAUACCCUGGUAGUCCACGCCGUAAACGAUGAGUGCUAGACGUUGGGAAUUUAUUUUUCAGUGUCGUAGUUAACGCAUUA
rnacentral:rRNA from 1 species